GGGGUUGUGGUGUAAUGGUAGCACAAUAGGCUCCAGACCUAUUAGUCGGGGUUCAAGUCCUCGUAAUCCCA
rnacentral:tRNA from 1 species